rnacentral:rRNA from 1 species
UCCCUAUGGGGUGCAGCAGGCGCGAAACCUCCACAAUGCGCGAAAGCGUGAUGGGGUUAGCCCGAGUGCUAUCCGAAAAGGAUGGCUUUUCCUUGGUGUAAAAACCCAUGGGAAUAAAGGGGGGGCAAGACUGGUGUCAGCCGCCGCGGUAAUACCAGCUCCCUGAGUGGUAAGGACGAUUAUUUGGCUUAAAGCGUCCGUAGCCGGCUUAGUGAGUCUUUUGUUAAAUCCAAUGAUUUAAUCAUUGAACUGCAAGAGAUACUGCUAUGCUAGAGGACGGGAGAGGUCGACGGUAGUCCAGGGGUAGGGGUGAAAUCCUAUAAUCCCGGGAGGACCACCAGUGGCGAAGGCUGUCGGCUAGAACGCGCUCGACGGUGAGGGAUGAAAGCUGGGGGAGCGAACCGGAUUAGAUACCCGGGUAGUCCCAGCUGUAAACGAUGCAGGCUAGGUGUUGGCGCGGCUACGUGCCGCUCCAGUGCCGCAGGGAAGCCGUUAAGCCUGCCGCCUGGGAAGUACGGCCGCAAGGCUGAAACUUAAAGGAAUUGGCGGGGGAGCACCACAAGGUGUGAAGCUUGCGGUUUAAUUGGAUUA